GGCUGGUCUGAAGGUAGUGACUUAUCUCACUUGAUUGUUCACAGUCAAUUACAGAUUGAACUCCUUUGUUCUACUACUUUUGCCCCUCCUCACUACUGCACUAGACUAGUCUAAA
rnacentral:Y_RNA from 1 species